rnacentral:rRNA from 1 species
GACAGAGGUGCCGAGCGUUAGGCGGAAUCACUGGGCUUAAAGCGUGUGUAGGCGGGUCGUUAAGUGUCUUGUGAAAUCCCCCGGCUCAACCGGGGAAUGGCUGGGCAUACUGGCGAUCUUGAGCAGUCUAGGGGCAGAUGGAACAAGUGGUGGAGCGGUGAAAUGCGUAGAUAUCACUUGGAACGCCAAAGGCGAAAACAGUCUGCUGGGGACUUGCUGACGCUGAGACACGAAAGCCAGGGGAGCGAACGGG